CAAUAGCGUAUAUUAAAGUUGUUGCGGUUAAAAAGCUCGUAGUUGGAUCUCGGCAGGCAGGGGGUGGUUCGCUCUUAGCGCUACUGCCCCAUUUGCCUGUGUGAUUGGCGGAGGUUUCGGGGUGCUCUUCGUUGAGUGACCCGGGGCGCCGUCAGGUUUACUUUGAAAAAAUUAGAGUGCUCAAAGCAGGCUUUUCACGCUUGAAUAUUCGUGCAUGGAAUAAUGGAAUAGGAACUCGUUUCUAUUUUGUUGGUUUUCGGAAAUCGAGUUAAUGAUUAAUAGGGACAAUUGGGGGCAUUAGUAUUCAGACGACAGAGGUGAAACUCUUGGACCGUCUGAAGACUAACUACUGCGAAAGCAUUCGCCAAGAGUGUUUUCAUUAA
rnacentral:rRNA from 1 species